rnacentral:rRNA from 1 species
AUUGAACGCUGGCGGCAUGCCUUACACAUGCAAGUCGAACGGCAGCACGGGUGCUUGCACCUGGUGGCGAGUGGCGAACGGGUGAGUAAUACAUCGGAACAUGUCCUGUAGUGGGGGAUAGCCCGGCGAAAGCCGGAUUAAUACCGCAUACGAUCUACGGAUGAAAGCGGGGGACCUUCGGGCCUCGCGCUAUAGGGUCGGCCGAUGGCUGAUUAGCUAGUUGGUGGGGUAAAGGCCUACCAAGGCGACGAUCAGUAGCUGGUCUGAGAGGACGACCAGCCACACUGGGACUGAGACACGGCCCAGACUCCUACGGGAGGCAGCAGUGGGGAAUUUUGGACAAUGGGCGAAAGCCUGAUCCAGCAAUGCCGCGUGUGUGAAGAAGGCCUUCGGGUUGUAAAGCACUUUUGUCCGGAAAGAAAUCCUUGGCCCUAAUACGGUCGGGGGAUGACGGUACCGGAAGAAUAAGCACCGGCUAACUACGUG